rnacentral:rRNA from 1 species
UACAGAGGUCUCAAGCGUUGUUCGGAUUCAUUGGGCGUAAAGGGUGUGUAGGUGGCGCCGUAAGUCGGGUGUGAAAUUUCGGAGCUUAACUCCGAAACUGCAUUCGAUACUGCGGUGCUUGAGGACUGGAGAGGAGACUGGAAUUCAUGGUGUAGCAGUGAAAUGCGUAGAGAUCAUGAGGAAGACCAGUGGCGAAGGCGAAUCUCUGGACAGUUACUGACACUGAGGCACGAAGGCCAGGGGAGCAAACGGG